CAAGAGGAUCGAGUUAGAACAAAGGGAACAGACCUCACCUGGCAGAAUCACAUCCCUCAGCAAAAGAGGAGGCAACGGUGAGGCAAAGUGUCUUUGCUCAACACCAAUGAGCAAAGCACGAGAUGAAGCUGCCUUUUCCAAAAGGUUGCUGCGAUCAGCAACAACUUUCAUAAGCUUAAUGAAGAGGAGGGAAGCAUUGUGAGAGUCAAGCAAGAGCCUACGGAUGGAAGGAAGGGAGAAGGAGGAGAAGGCGGCGGCGCGUGAUACUUGUGACUACAUGAAAUAAGCUGUGAAACAAAGAGGUCAACAGAUUCCUUCUCCACUGUCUGCAACGACAGCAUCGUCGACUGCCUCUCACCACCCUUCAACCACUGCGCCCUCAUCUUCUUCCUCACCUCCGGCAGCAUCUGGCACAAAGCCUCCGGAAACAACUUCAAGUUCUGGGUUUUAGAUGGCACUACCUCUCACCAAUGGCUUGACUGAGAACAUGAAAACUACACAACAAGAUUUUAACCAAGCCACUAUCUCCUACUCAGCAUUUGCAAAUCAGCGAGGUCCACCAAAUCAUCGUAACGGCAGAGCACCAACAAGACAGACGGCAACUUACCUUCAGCUUCAUGAGAGGCUUCGGCUUUCUAGUUUCCCUCUUCCUUGAGUCCUUCCUAUAAUCCCCGCCGUUUGAAAGCUUGGGCAUUCUGUAUCUGUACUGCGAAGCUUCACCGCCGGCCUCCUCCCAAUCGUUUCAUUUGUCGCUCCCGUCGUCAUCGUUAUCAAAUCCGUAGACUUCAAUGAUCUCGCCUACCAGUUCCGACGGCGCGAGCGUGACAGCGGAGUAGAAGGAACGAGGUGCGCAGUUCUGGCGAAGGUGGUGGUGGGGGCCCGAGAUCGACUGGUGAUGAUCGUCACUUAAGGGGAGAAAGGAACAGAAGACGACGAAUGAUUAGCAGUUUAGCACAUCAAGGUGACAACUCAGUGUGUGUUUGGAUAUGGUGCAUAAUCGAUUUUUGGGUAAAAAAAAAUGAUUCUCCACAGAAUUAUUCAAACACUCAGUUUUUUGGUUAAUCGAUUUUUAAACUAAAAAUUAAUUUUUUUGGUAGCUGAGAAUCCAAAACUUUUGCCAAAAAACUUUUCAAAAACGUUGACAAAAAUGAUAAAGAAAGACUCAAAAAAAUAAAAAUAAAAAAACACUUAAUUUAAUAAAAAUAAAAUUAAA